rnacentral:misc_RNA from 1 species
UCACAAUACUCACCAACGGCUGCAGGAGCUAGGAACACGACGCACGCGUGGAGGCGCUACGAAGACGAGAGUGGGGCACCACAAAAGCGCAGCAUCUGAGCAACGUACUUGCGGCAUGUCGCGCUCAGCGUCGAGCUCUUCGGAGUCGCAGCUUCUGCCGACAACCGACCACCUUGCAGACAGGGAGCAACGCCAGAGCCUCCUUCAGUACGUCGACCAGCGCAUCCAAGAGCUCGAGGAAGAGCGGUGCGAACUGCGCCAGCAGCUGAGCGACCUCAAGGCAGAGCGGAGCAUCAUCGAGGCCAAGAUGAGCGAGACGUGAGUCUCCCGAGGCAGCAGCGGCGGCGGCGCUUGAUGGACAGAUAGAGCUUCAGGGCCUCCUGCGCGCAGAUAUGCUCCUUUGGAAGCAGAGAUCGUGCCAUGCUGCUCGCACUGCAUGUGCGCAGCGUGUCUGAUGGGUAGGUGCACGACGUGUGCAUGUGUUUCAAAUCUGUGUGCUGAUCAGUGGAAAGGAGAAUGCCGCACUUCCUGAUGGGAGCGCGCGGCGGCCGUUGCCGGUGUUGCUGAUGCUGCUGCUAGGCCCUCGUGCUCUUCUCCCUGGCGUCACCGCCUUGCACAGGAGAAGAUACAAGCGUAAAGGAGAGGGGCAGCCUACACUUGCGCUGCGCCGCCCUCAUCUCCUUCAUAACCUCGACUGAACGGUCGUACGUGGUCGGCACUAACGUCGCCAGCGACGUCGCAGCUUCCGCUGCGUUUCCUUGCUCCGUAAGAGGCGUUACCCAUGGUGGCGCACAUGCUCGUGCUCACGCAUAUGCGCAGCUGUGCAUCAAAGGUCUCUCAGUGCUGGUGUGGUCCCCCCCCUGUGCCCUUCCUCGAGCCCUCUCUCCCUCUUCCUCCUCUGCCGACACGCCGGCCACACACACACAUACAAGCCACCACCCUUGACGCCCGCUCUCUCCUCCUCCUCCUCCUCCUCCUCCUGGCUACGCGCCACAG